rnacentral:rRNA from 1 species
CAAGUCGAACGAUGAAGCCUUCGGGUGGAUUAGUGGCGAACGGGUGAGUAACACGUGGGCAAUCUGCCCUGCACUCUGGGACAAGCCCUGGAAACGGGGUCUAAUACCGGAUAAUACUGUGCCCCUCAUGGGGGACGGUUGAAAGCUCCGGCGGUGCAGGAUGAGCCCGCGGCCUAUCAGCUUGUUGGUGGGGUAAUGGCCUACCAAGGCGACGACGGGUAGCCGGCCUGAGAGGGCGACCGGCCACACUGGGACUGAGACACGGCCCAGACUCCUACGGGAGGCAGCAGUGGGGAAUAUUGCACAAUGGGCGAAAGCCUGAUGCAGCGACGCCGCGUGAGGGAUGACGGCCUUCGGGUUGUAAACCUCUUUCAGCAGGGAAGAAGCGAAAGUGACGGUACCUGCAGAAGAAGCGCCGGCUAACUACGUGCCAGCAGCCGCGGUAAUACGUAGGGCGCAAGCGUUGUCCGGAAUUAUUGGGCGUAAAGAGCUCGUAGGCGGUCUGUCACGUCGGGUGUGAAAGCCCGGGGCUUAACCCCGGGUCUGCAUUCGAUACGGGCAGACUAGAGUGUGGUAGGGGAGAUCGGAAUUCCUGGUGUAGCGGUGAAAUGCGCAGAUAUCAGGAGGAACACCGGUGGCGAAGGCGGAUCUCUGGGCCAUUACUGACGCUGAGGAGCGAAAGCGUGGGGAGCGAACAGGAUUAGAUACCCUGGUAGUCCACGCCGUAAACGUUGGGAACUAGGUGUUGGCGACAUUCCACGUCGUCGGUGCCGCAGCUAACGCAUUAAGUUCCCCGCCUGGGGAGUACGGCCGCAAG